UGUGUACUGAGUAGGUCAAGGUUCCUGGGAGAAUCAUACCCGACACCCAUACUGGUCCUUUUGAUGUAGACACCCCUCCUCCACUGAUUCUGAGCUUCACUGAACAACUGGAUCACACAAAUGAAGAUCAUUCCUGUUUGGAACCCAGCCUCCAUAUUAACAGUAUACCCAAGCAACCCUUCAUACAGAAAAGCAAACAUGGAAAGGAAACGUGACUACCCGUCAACUCCAGAAGUCAAGCAAACCUUCACAUACAAGAACACAUGGAAAGGAAGCCUGUCCACACCUCAACUCCAGAAAUCAACAGCCCUGCCUGAGUCCCCAGGCAAGAGCCAGGAAACACAUACAUGCGCCAUCUUGGAAACAGACCCUCCCUUCCCCAUGGAGCCAUUGACAAGCCACCUUUGCUGGGCCCCACCCAAAUUGCAGCUUUACUAACAAAAUAAAUAGCUGUGGUUGUU